GGCAGUAUAGCGUAGUGGUAAGGAGGUAAGGCUUGUAACCGAAAGGUUGCUGGUUCGAUUCCCUGCUGGGG